UACGAGGGGGGCGAGCGUUGUUCGGAAUUAUUGGGCGUAAAGGGUGCGUAGGCGGUUUGGUAAGUCUGAUGUGAAAUCUAUGGGCUCAACUCAUAGUCUGCAUCAGAAACUGCCGGGCUUGAGUAUGGGAGAGGUGAGUGGAAUUCCUGGUGUAGCGGUGAAAUGCGUAGAUAUCAGGAGGAACACCUGUGGCGAAAGCGGCUCACUGGACCAUAACUGACGCUGAUGCACGAAAGCUAGGGGAGCAAACAGG
rnacentral:rRNA from 1 species